ACACACCCUUGUUCCUUUGAGAUGUCCAUCUGAGUGGAUAUAGAAACUGAAGCCAUUGCAACUGCCUUGCCUCCAUGCGUGGUCCUAUGAUGGAGCAAACUCUAAGGAAUUAGAGGGCUACUCCAAGAAACCCUCACUCUCUGCAGAUCUCCAGACAAGAACUUGACAGCAGUCUUCAUGGAUAUAGAAAAAUCCCUCACCCUCGGGGACACUCAUCAAUCUCUCCUAAAUAUGCUCAGCUAACUUUCCACCCACAGCCGCACAUUUGGCUGCACAGCUAGUAUCCAGCCUGGGAUCAAGAAGCCAGUCUCCCCUUCUUGUAGGACCUCCGGUCUUUGGUCUUAUUUUGUCACCCAGGCUGGAGUGCAGUAGU